AUCUCAUCUCAAGGGUGGUACAUCCACUUACCUUUCAACCCCAAGGGGUUUCACAUCACAUCGCAAGAGACGAGGAUAAUCUUCCUACUCAAAAAAUAGAACAUCCCCAUGGGGGUGAAUAUCAACCAAAAAAAAAAAAAAA